UGAUGGCUGUACGUGUUGGCACCCAAUUCCUGCUUUAAUUCAUAAUCAUUCCUAUCUUUCCAUUUUAUCAACUCCAAUUCAAAUACAGAGAGUCAGAGUUUGCUCAAGCAUGAACAGGAUGGGAACUGGAAGUUGUAACAACUCCAAUACAAUUCCACUACUCACUCCUUACAAAAUGGGAGAGUUUGUCUCUCUCACAGAGUAGUUUUAGCACCAUUAGUUAGAAACAGAUCUUACAAUAAUAUUCCACAGCCACACGCGGCAUUAUAUUAUUCACAGAGAACUACCAAAGGUGCUCUCCUUAUUACUGAAGCAACUGGAGUAUCAGCUACUGCACUAGGUGGAUUCCGAGAUACACCUGGAGUUUGGA